ensembl:lncRNA
CAAUUCGGCAUUCAGCAAAAUACAACGUAGAACAUAGAACUUUUAUGAACAAAAUGAAUAAAAAUACACCAUGCUAUAUGCCUAAUAUAAAAUAAGAAAUAACUUACACAAAGUUUAGGUAUACAGAACUGAAGUUCAGUAAACACUGUGAAACCAAAUUAAUAACAAAAUAAACGUAUGUUAUUAGCAAAAUGAAUAAGAAAGCUGGGUGACAUGGCAUGUAAAAAAAAAAAUACACAGUUUAAAUAAAUAAAAAUCAACAAACACUUUGGAGCCAAAUAAGUAAGAAAUGAAUGUUUAAAAACUCCUAAUAUCACCUUAGAUAAAUGGAAGAAGUCAACAGGCUUUUCAAAAUCCAAAAUAUUUUUCUCACCUCACUCUUCUUGUCAGCUUCUCCUCAUGUGACUGUCGGCAUGCUGCAUUGAGCAGCCGCAUUCAGUUUUAAUUGUAGUGUCUGUUCUCUAACUGAACUAAAUUAUUUUUAUGACUAUAAAAUAUCAAAACGACGGUGGGGGCGGUGACAUUGGGCAAGUGACAUAACCGGUGUUGCGGCUUCACACCGGUAAAACGUCAACUCCCUCUAACGCAGCAACCCUAGUUGACACCAGCUCAUCUGUGUCAGAGGGAAGACAGAGACCAGAAAACCAGAAGAGAAAUUAGACUAAGUCAAGACUGAGACCAGAAGAGAGAUUAGUCUGAGUCAAGACUGAGACCAGAAGAGGGCUGAGUUCAGUAUCAAGACCAGAAGAAGGUUUAAUUUGAGUCAAGACCGAGACCAAAAGAGGGUCAAGUUUGUGUCAAGCCUGAGAUCAGAAGAAGGUUUAGUUUGGUCUCAAGACAGAGACCUGAAAAGGGAUGAGUCUGAGUCUGGACUGAGACCAGAAAAGGGUUUAGUCUGAGUCAAGACUGAAACCAGAAAAAGGUUGAGCCUGAGUCUGGACUGAGACCAGAAGAGAGACGAGUCUUAAUCUGGACUGAGACCAGUAGAGAGAUGAGUCUGAGUCAAGACUGAGACCAGAAGAGAAAUGAGUCUGAAUCUGGACUGAGACCAGAAGAGGGCUGAGUUCAGUCUCAAGACCAGAAGAAGGUUUAAUUUGAGUCAAGACUGAGACCAGAAGAGAGAUAUGUCUGAGUCUAGACUGAGACCAGACGAGGGUUAAGGUUGAGUCAAGACUGAGACCAGAAGAAGGUUCAGUUUGGUCUCAAGACAGAGACCUGAAAAAGGAUGAGUCUGAGUCUGGACUGAGAACAGAAGAGGGUUGUGUCUGAGUCUGGACUGCGACCAGAAGAGGGUUGAGUCUGAGUCAAAACCAGUAGAGAGAUGAGUCUGAAUCAAGACUGAGACCAGAAGAGAGAGGAGUUUGUAUCUGGACUGAGAUCAGAAGAGGUUUGAGUUUGAGUCAAGAACCGGACCAGAAGAAGGUUCAGUUUGGUCUCAAGACAGAGACCAGAAAAGGGAUGAGUCUGAGUCAUGACUGAGACCAGAAGAGGGUUGAGCUAGAGUCAAGAUUGAGGCCAGAAGAGAGAUGAGUCUAAAUCUAGACUGUGACCAGAAGAGAGAUGAGUCUGAGUCCAGACUUAGACAAAAAAAGGUUGAGUUCGAUCUCAAGACUGAGACCAGAAGAAGGUUGAAUUAAAAUCAAGACAGAAUCCACAUGGUUACGGCUCCAUGACAGGGCUAACAUGAAACAUGAAAACAUUAAAAUAUGGUUGAGGUCUUGUCAUGGACUUGAG